rnacentral:misc_RNA from 1 species
UUUCAUUUCUCAUUACCAACUCAUUCAAUAUCAUACAACUAGAUAAAUGCUUACAAAUCCUCUUCUUUCUUUAAAAACAAAAAGUACAGCAUACAAACUCGGUAUAUAUACAUCUUGUACAAAGCAGUAUCUAGUGUUCCUUCUCUAGUAUCCAUUGCUAAAUAUCUGGAUCAAGAAGGAAUAUAUAUAUAUAGAAGAAAAUUCAUACCCAAUAUCUAAGAGAGCUAAUUAAUUAUACUCUAUUUUUUCAUGCAUGCACUCCAUCUAUAUAUGUAUAACUUUUUGAAUCUAUCAAUGAAGUGCAAACAUCAAAAAAUAAAGUAUAUAACCAAAACCAUAUAAUUAAAAUGCUAAAGAAAUUUCAUGUUACUUAAUUAAUUAUUAAUAAUGUUAUUAUAACUAGUCAAACAAGUUCCUUAGUGCAUUUCUUUUGGCACAUGGUUCAGGCACUAAAACCUUUUGGGUGUCAUCACUUUGAGCAGUAAUAUUGGUGGGUGUGAUGGGCUCAAUAUUGCCUAAAAUCACUCCUUGCUUUUGCAUAUACUCCCAUUUGUCUUGAAAAAGGUAGAAGAAAGCCAUGAAAGAGACCUGGGAUGUGAAAAGUAUAGUCCAAAUCCUUGUCUUUGCUGAUAUUUUCUUGCGGUAAGCUUCUAGGCCUGUGUAGAUGUUGAUGAUCCCAACUAGAGAGAUUAAUGUUCCAAGUAUCCAAUGCAGAAAGUACCAUGUGCUUCUUCUUUUACUCCCUCUGCAGGAUUUUUCAAGAAAAUUAUGUUCUAAUAUAUUAAACUUCCCAAAAAAAAUAAAAAAAUAAAAUCACUAGUUGUGAAGGAGGGCUGAUCAAGAUGACUUGUGUAUAUAUACCUAAGAGGUCUCAGAAAUCCAAUAACAGCUUGCACCCAAACGGCACCGUAAAGGGCUAAACCUAUCCUCUGGUGGUUGUUAUCAAAUGAAUUCUCAAAGGAUUUUAUGGACAUGAUAGCUCCAGAUGUGGCAAGAAGCACUAAGAGUACCUGCAAAAUCACAUGGAGGUACAAGAGAACUUUCCUUCUGCUUCCACCUUCUUCUCUGUGUGAUAUUCUAAUAAUAAGUAUCCCAAGAGGUGCUAAGAACCCCAAGGAAACCCAUAAGAGAACCCCAUGAAGAGCAACAUCAGAUUUCAUCUUAUGACUUAGCUUGCGAGUGUUUUCUGAUCUUAUGCUCUUGUGGCCUCUCACAUCUUCAUGGGAUAAGCAAGAAACAAAUGACAGAAAAGUAACAAAGCAUUCAAGCAAAGACAAAGAUGAUAGCAAACGAAAAUUUCGCAUUCUUCAACCUCCAAAAUAAAAAGAAGAAUUGCAACCAAAGAUCCUAUUUUAUUCUCUCUCUUCUCUAGAAAGACAGAAUUAAAAAGCCAUAAGAAUAAUGUUGUUAGAUUUGGAUAUGGGAACUAACAAAGGUUUUUGAGAUUAUUGGUUGACAAUAUAUAUUAAUUUAUACGAGGAAUGAGUAAAUGUGGGAAGAUGGCAAGUGAUGAAUACAAAAAGGAGGCUACUAGCUAUAGCAUGGUUUUUAGUUUUGGAUUUAUGAGCAAGCAUGGAUGUUAAAUGGUAG